AUUGAACGCUGGCGGCAUGCCUUACACAUGCAAGUCGAACGGUAACAGGUCUUCGGAUGCUGACGAGUGGCGAACGGGUGAGUAAUACAUCGGAACGUGCCCGAGAGUGGGGGAUAACGAAGCGAAAGCUUUGCUAAUACCGCAUACGAUCUCAGGAUGAAAGCAGGGGACCGUAAGGCCUUGCGCUCACGGAGCGGCCGAUGGCAGAUUAGGUAGUUGGUGGGAUAAAAGCUUACCAAGCCGACGAUCUGUAGCUGGUCUGAGAGGACGACCAGCCACACUGGGACUGAGACACGGCCCAGACUCCUACGGGAGGCAGCAGUGGGGAAUCUUGGACAAUGGGCGCAAGCCUGAUCCAGCCAUGCCGCGUGAGUGAAGAAGGCCUUCGGGUUGUAAAGCUCUUUUGUCAGGGACGAUAAUGACGGUACCUGAAGAAUAAGCCCCGGCAAACUUCGUG
rnacentral:rRNA from 1 species